UACGGUCCUUGACUUGAACUCUAGGAGGGAAAUGACUUUGUGUGUUGCUAGAACUCGAACCAAACAUCGUAAAAUUGCACAAGAUGAUUAAUUUUACAGAAAAUCGGACAUGACAUAUCUGUAUAUAUACUACUAACACAUACUCUUCCUACUACAAAAUUAGUAAAUGAAGUACAUGCCAAAUUCACAAACAAGCUAACAACCACAUGACAUGUUCACUUACACAUCUAAGAAGCCAUGUCAAGUUGAAUAUACUAUAUUUUUCUUCUAACUACAAACAUAGAUGGUUUUAGUAAACUUACCACGGAAGGCUUCUUGGUAAAUCCCAU
rnacentral:lncRNA from 1 species